rnacentral:rRNA from 1 species
GACGAACGCUGGCGGCGUGCUUAACACAUGCAAGUCGAACGAAGAGCGAUGGAUGCUUGCUUCUAUCAAUCUUAGUGGCGAACGGGUGAGUAACGCGUAAUCAACCUGCCCUUCAGUGGGGGACAACAGUUGGAAACGAUUGCUAAUACGGCAUACGAUAUAAUCUCGGGAUCGUGGAUAGCUGAAAGGUGGACACUACCUGUAAGCUAUCACUGUAGGAGGGGAUUGCGUCUGCUUAGCUAGUUGGGGGGGUAAAGGGCCACCAAGGCGAGGUUCAAUAACCGGUCUGAGAGGAUGAACGGCCACAAUGGGACUGAGACACGGCCCAGACUCCUACGGGAGGCAGCAGUGGGGAAACUUCCGCAAUGGACGAAAGUCUGACUGAGCAACGCCGCGUGAGGGAUGACAGCCUUCGGGUUGUAAAACUCUGUUAAUCUGGACGAAAGGCCUGCUUGCGAAUAGUGAGAAGGAUUGACGGUACCGGAAGAGAAAGCCACGGCUAACUACGUG